rnacentral:rRNA from 1 species
CCUACGGGAGGCAGCAGUGGGGAAUAUUGCACAAUGGGGGAAACCCUGAUGCAGCGACGCCGCGUGAAGGAAGAAGUAUUUCGGUAUGUAAACUUCUAUCAGCAGGGAAGAAAAUGACGGUACCUGACUAAGAAGCCCCGGCUAACUACGUGCCAGCAGCCGCGGUAAUACGUAGGGGGCAAGGGUUAUCCGGAUUUACUGGGUGUAAAGGGAGCGUAGACGGCAUGGCAAGUCUGGUGUGAAAGGAAGGGGCUCAACCCCUGGACUGCAUUGGAAACUGGCAGGCUGGAGUGCAGGAGAGGUAAGUGGAAUUCCUAGUGUAGCGGUGAAAUGCGUAGAUAUUAGGAGGAACACCAGUGGCGAAGGCGACUUACGGGACUGUAACUGACGUUGAGGCUCGAAAGCGUGGGGAGCAAACAGGAUUAGAUACCCGUGUAGUC